rnacentral:sRNA from 13 species
GAGUUAUGCGUCUUUAAAGUUGGAGGUGAGAGAGUGUGAGACGCAGAGAAGCAGACUGUCUCGUUCUCUGCCGUCUCUCACUCUCUCACCUCUAACUUUAAAGGCGCAUAACUC